UUUUUUGCGUGUGUGUUGGGGGAUGGAUGAGAUAGGAUUCGCCCCCUCAUCCAUGUCAAACUGAUGGAUACCUGCUGCGGAAUUAUGAAUUUCAAUUGCAAUAUCACGCAGGUGAUCCCAACUGGUCCGGAAUGGAAAUUGCACAUUUGCAUGUUGCAUAUUUCGCUGUAGCUACUAUCGUGUUAUGACUUUGACUAAGUGGAUGAUGCUCUCUCCCUCGUCCUCCUCUAACACACAUCUCUCUCUCUCUCUCCCUAUCUCUUUUCUACUCACGCAUUUAGAUUGUUAUGGGGGGCGGCUGUGAAAACGGCGGUGGUGGCGGCAGCAGGAUUGCAAUUUCGUGCGACAUUUGUUGUCCGCGCAGUUCCCUAAAAUUUAAUUUCGACGGCCGCUCUAAUUGAAUUUGCUUUGACUCGACUCUAUCGUCCUCUUAUUUCUUUUCUUGCAGGAUCAAGCGGAACGCGAACGCGGCCCCAAGAAGCAGAAGUUGGCCUGCUGCGAUUCCAAGGAAGCGACCGCAGGACCGGUUUCCAUGAAAUGUCUGAAGAAGUACAAGCAUUUGGUACAUUUUGAUUGGUUGUGCGAGAAUGAGAUGGUCGCUGUUGAGGUGACGCCCAUGUCUUUGCUGGAGCAACUUCCACCUGCCUUCAAGAGGAAUCAAUUCGGAGCGAAAUAGUUGUUGUUUUUUUUUUAUAUAACUCAUAAUAUAACACUUACGUCCUAACUUCAGAAAAUAAAUAUGUUGUUUUUAAA